AUUUUCUAUUCUUUUAUUUUCUUUUUUUUUUCAGAUCUUUACUUCUUUUUUUUUUUUAAUUUUUUUUAAAUUAGGUAUUUUCUUCCUUUACAUUUCCAAUGCUAUCCCAAAAGUUCCCCAUUCCCUACCCACCCACUCCCACUUCUUGGCCCUGGUGUUCCCCUGUACUGAGGCAUAUAAAGUUUGCAAGACCAAUGGGCCUCUCUUUUCACUGAUGGCCGACUAGGCCAUCUUCUGAUACAUACGCAGCUAGAGACAAGAGCUCCAUGGGGUACUGGUUAGUUCAUAUUGUUGUUCCACCUAUAGGGUUGCAGAUCCCUUUAGCUCCUUGGGUUCUUUCUCUAGCUCCUCCAUUGGGGGCCCUGUGAUCUAUCCAGUAGCUGACUGUGAGCAUCCACUUCUGUGUUUGCUAGGCCCCGGCAUUGUCUCACAAGAGACAGCUACAUCUGGGUCCCUUCAGCAAAAUCUUGCUAGUAUAUGCAAUGGGGUCAGCGUCUAUAGGCUGAUUAUGGGAUGGAUCCCCCAGUAUGGCAGUAAGCGGGAAAGAACCCAGAUGCCCCUCAACAGAGGAAUGGAUACAGAAAAUGUGGUACAUUUACACAAUGGAGUACUACUCAGCUAUUAAAAAGAACGAAUUUAUGAAAUUCCUAGGCAAAUGGAUGGACCUGGAGGGCAUCAUCCUGAGUGAGGUAACACAUUCACAAAGGAACUCACACAAUAUGUACUCACUGAUACGUGGAUAUUAGCCCAGAUACUUAGGAUACCCAAGAUACAAGAUACAAUUUGCAAAACACAUGAAACUGAAGAAGAAUGAAGACACUGUGUCCCUUCUUAGAAUUGGAAACAAAACACCCAUGGAAGGAGUUACAGAGACAAAGUUUGGAGCUGAGACAAAAGGAUGGACCAUCUAGAGACUGCCUACCAUUUUCUUUACAGCAUUUGAAAUCAAAUUUCCCACUCUCCCUAGCCUCCUGUUGGGCAUCACUUGUAGCUUGUCUUUUCCUAGUCCAGGGCUGCUUCUUUCUUCCACCUUCUCCACCCUCUCCACUCCUCAAGACGACAUAGGAGAGACAAGAGGAUAGAGGGAGGGGAUUGGAGUUACCUGAAUAGGGCCCAGGGUCUGAAAGGAGGAGAUGUUAUCAUUAGACUACUUCCUGCCGAUUAGGGUCAUCGAGUUCCUGGGGGCAAGUGUGAUCUUUGUUAUCAGGAUAUCUAAUUUAUUCUUUCUCAUUUUUCCUUUGGGCACGACUAACAAAUUGCAACCAACAACAGCCAACAACCCAUCCCUCCUCUCAGGGCCCUAUCAUUUAUAUACCCUCUAAAAUAAACAUCCUCAGAAUUCCAAAUAUCACACACACAGAAAUUAUCUGCAGCUGGCAAAAAUUAGACACCUGCUAGAGCAGGGGAAAAAAAUCAUAGUUGUAAUACUUCUGUGGGUUUUCUGUUUGUUUUUUAACCUAAACUCCAAAAUUGGCACUACAAGCUCCCUUUCUCCUUUUAAAUCCAUCUCUGAGCCCAGAGCAUGGAAAGGUGUCACCUAUCUACAUUUAAGGUUGGGUUCCCUCUUGGUCAGCCCUUUCUGGAAACACUGUUUCGGAGGUUGUGGACUGGAUUCUAAGUUAAACUGACUGUGGAUAUUACUUAUCACAAUGUGCAAAAUGUCUCAACUCUUGGAGCACUUCAGACUUUGAAAUUUCAGAUUAGGCACAUUCAAUGUGUGUGUGUUUUUUUUUUUUUUUUGGUAAAUUAUGAAUAUGAAAAUAGGGCUGAAGAGAUGGCUCAGUAGUUAAGAAAGUGUAUUACUGCUGGGCGUGGUGGCACACGCCUUUAAUCCCAGCACUCGGGAGGCAGAGGCAGGCAGAUUUCCGAGUUCGAGGCCAGCCUGGUCUACAAAGUGAGUUAUACAGAGGAACCCUGUCUUGAAAGCCAAAAAAAAAAAAAAAAAUUAAAAUUAAAAAAAGUAUAUUACUGUUGCAGAGGGCUUGAAUUUGAUUCUUAGCAUCCAUAUUGAGUGACUUACAACUCUCUGAAACUUUAGCUCUGGUAGAUCUGACAUCUUCUAAAAGGCAUACACAUACAUAGGCAUACACAUAGACAAAAAACACACAUAAAAUAAU
rnacentral:lncRNA from 1 species